UCCCGACCCCCUUCGCUCGGCCCCCAUCUCACGAUCUCCGGCGACAAGGCAUCGACGGCGAUCUCCGGCGACUAGGCAUCGAUGCCGAUGACCUUCUCCUCGCGCUAAGGCCUUCUCUUUCCUCUCCCUCCUGAGGCUGGAGUUUUUCUUCCUCCCCUUUCUCUUUCGCGCGACUUCCACCUUCCCCGAUCCAUCUUUACUGUCUACGUUGUCGAUGCCACGCUGCCGGCGGACAUCUCCCGAUCGCAUCAGUGUUGAGCUGCCACUGAUCCUUCUUUCUUCUCCGCUGAUCAUCGGAGGCUAUUGGGUCGUCUUCCUCUUCGGGUCAUCGCUUACACGGGAAGAUCUUCGGCAAGGUGGAGGAAAGACAAACCCUAAUCAUCGAUCCUCUCCCGAUAUGGUCAUUGCCGCCCUGACAUUAUCGAUCCCCACAGCUACUCGUGCCAAAUGUUAUCGCGACAAGGGAGGAGUUCAAUUCUUGGUUGAUGCCCUAGCGCCGUCGAUUCUGAUCAACCCACCGGCAGUCAAGAGGAAGGGGAUCUGAACCCUAGAUCUAGUCCCUCGUUACCUCACCCGUAUGUUGCGGCUUCAACCACUGCAGCCCUUGUUCCAGCCCAGAAUCUGUUGAAUCUUGCUGUUGCUAUCUACACUGUCGCCGGCCACCUAUUGCAAGAAAUCGUUGUCGGAUCAGUGAACCAUUGGAGAAGUGGUUGUUGACAUGGAGUUAAGGGGGCUCUUGGUGGCUGUCGGCAGGGGUUCUUGUGGAGCUGUGAGUUUUGUUUGGCUGCUAUAUCUAAAGCAACUUCCACCUUGCUCUGGUCAUGGAUUCUAGCAGUAGGCACUUCUUCACCUUGAUCCAAAUUUGGGAUUUGGAUUCGGGACGAGCGUCUGGACAUGGGAUUUUCAUAUUACGAUCGACAGAUAAGGC